AGCAACGCGGAAGAACCUUACCAAAUCUUGACAUCCUCAGACAACUCUAGAGAGGAGCGUUCCCCUUCGGGAGACAAAACACAGGUGGUCCAUGGUUUGUCACAGCUUGUUUUGUGAGAUUUGGGUUAAGUCCCCCGAAGAGAGCAAAACCCUUAAGCUUAGUUCCCACCAUUAAGUUGGGCACUCAAAGGAGACUGCCGGGGACAACCCGGAGGAAGGUGGGGAUGACGUCAAGUCAUCAUGCCCCUUAUGACCUGGGCUUCACACGUCUUACAAUGGUCGGAACAAAGAGAAGCGAACCCGCGAGGGCAAGCCAAUCUCAAAAACCCGUUCUCAGUUCGGAUUGUAGUCUGCAACUCGCUUACAUGAAGUCGGAAUCGCUAGUAAUCGCGGAUCAGAA
rnacentral:rRNA from 1 species